CGGACUCCCGGUGCUUUGUGAUACGCUCUCGAAGAGUCGAGUUGUUUGGGAAUGCAGCUCAAAAUGGGUGGUAAGCUCCAUCUAAAGCUAAAUAUUGGCGAGAGACCGAUAGCGAACAAGUACCGUGAGGGAAAGAUGAAAAGCACUUUGGAAAGAGAGUUAAACAGUACGUGAAAUUGUUGAAAGGGAAACGCUUGAAGUCAGUCGCGUCUUACUUGACUCAGCCUUGCUUCGGCUUGGUGUAUUUCAAGUAGGAUGGGUCAACAUCGAUUUUGACCGGUGGACAAGGGGUNAAGGAAUGUGGCACUCUUCGGAGUGUGUUAUAGCCUUUUCUCAUAUACAUCGGUUGGGAUUGAGGCCCGCAGCGCGCCCUUGUGGCCGGAGGUUCGCCUCACGUAACGCGCUUAGGAUGUUGGCAUAAUGGCUUUAAGCGACCCGUCUUGAAACACGGACCAAGGAGUCUAACAUGCUCGCGAGUGUUAGGGUGGAAAACCCUUGCGCGUAAUGAAAGUGAAAGUUGAGACCCUCCGCAAGGGGGUGCAUCGACGCCCGGCCCUGAAGUUUACUGACGGUGCUGCGGUAGAGCGCGUAUGUUGGGACCCGAAAG
rnacentral:rRNA from 1 species